CCGUGGCUCUGCUUGUAGCUCUGUGGGACUGCUCUGUAAUCCUUGUGGGACUGCUCUGUAAUCCUUAAUACCGUGUGCUAUACCGUGGCUCUGCUUGUAGCUCUGUGGGACUGCUCUAUUCACAUAACAGAUAGACAAUGAAACAAGUGGAAGGUGUUGAGUCAAACAAUUCUCCUCGUGAAGUUAGAACGGGGGUGCUGGUACAGGAAGUGGACGAGGGACAACCAUGCCUUAUGUGUAGAGAUAAAUGCCCUGGAUAUAGUUCUCACGUCUGGAGGUAAGU